rnacentral:rRNA from 1 species
AUUGAACGCUGGCGGCAUGCCUUACACAUGCAAGUCGAACGGCAGCACGGGGCAACCUGGUGGCGAGUGGCGAACGGGUGAGUAAUGCAUCGGAACGUACCUUUCAGUGGGGGAUAACGUAGCGAAAGUUACGCUAAUACCGCGUAUUCUGUGAGCAGGAAAGCAGGGGAUCGCAAGACCUUGCGCUGAUUGAGCGGCCGAUGUCAGAUUAGCUAGUUGGUGAGGUAAAGGCUCACCGAGGCGACGAUCUGUAGCGGGUCUGAGGGGAUGAUCCGCCACGCUGGAACUGAGCCAGGGUCCAGGCUCCUACGGGAGGAAGCAGUGGGGAAUUUUGGACAAUGGGGGCAACCCUGAUCCAGCCAUGCCGGGUGAGUGAAGAAGGCGUUCGGGUUGUGAAGGUCUUUCGGCCGGGAAGAAAACGCACGGGCUAAUACCCUGUGUGGAUGACGGUACCGGAAUAAGAAGCACCGGCUAACUACGUGCCAGCCGCCGCCGUAAUAC